GUUGUUGUGGCAGUCCUGGCACUGGAAGCCCUUGCCCAUUACUGUAAUAGGCAGGGGGCUCCCAGUGCCAGGUCUGCAACAACACU